CACUUAAAAAGUAUUACCUCACAAUUACUCUAUCCUAAGGUAGCAACUCUAUGAUCCCAGGUUUAUCAUUGUGCCACAGGCUUAGGAGGGAGGUCUGAACAAAAAUGCAAGAAAAAGGAACUUCUGUCCUCCAAGCCACGUCGUGGUAAAGAUGCAGCAUACCUCUCAGAAAUUUAAGUUAAUAGAAACAAGCACUACAUGCUAAUGUACAUGGAAUGUGUGACUAACAGAGAAAAAGUGAUACUGUGAGGAUGUAAAAAGUGAGCUAACUCGAAAAGUCCUCAAGAAGUAGUGUUAAUGUAAUACAAAGAACUAUCUAAUGCUUACCAGUAAUAAGAAAAAAAAAUACAGAGGUAUAAAAAAUAUAUAAAUUGUGUGCUCCCACCAUAAGAAGGCAAACGGCAUCCCUAAGAGCUGUGCAAAUAAAGCCUUCCUGGAAUUUGAAUAGAGAAAAAAAACGGUGUGAGGAUCGAGUCACCUGUGGCACAUUGUAAUAAAUUUGUUGAACUGCAUUGGAACAGAGCAUACAGUAUGCACAUUGUGAGCAAUGAUAUAAUUCCAACAAAAUGAUAU
rnacentral:lncRNA from 1 species